CGACGACGUGAGGGGGAAAAAGAAGAGUAGAGAGAGAGAGAGAGAGAGAGAGAGAGUGAGGCUGUGUGUGAUUACUCUGAUUAGUGAGUGACAAGAGAAUGAAAAGGGAGAGAGAAUAACGAAGAGAGAGAAACGACGACGACGCCAAAAAUAAGGCACGCCACGCCUCGCCUCGUCGUGUUUUAAAAGCUUUGUUUUCCUUAUUUUAUUUUUGUUACUUGUGUGUUUCUCUCUCUCGCUCUCUUUCUCUCUCGCCCACUCCAAAAAACCCCUCUCCAACCUCUCUCUCAUGAUUACAGAUCACGGCACCACGCUCACCUUCUGUCAUCCUUUUGGAGUACGUCUCUAGGGUUUUUGUUUUCUUGCUUUUCUACUUUUGUGGCUCUGAAAGUGGAGAGCUUCGAUGUCGUCGUCGUCUUCUGCGGCUGCUUCUGCUGUUCAGAAGAUCUGUUUCAAUCCCGACUGUAAGGAUGCUAAAUCGGAGAGGUUGAGGAAAGGAUGGCGCCUUCGGAACGGAGAUUAUGCGGAGCUCUGUGAUCGAUGCGCUUCUGCAUUUGAGGAAGGGAGAUUCUGUGAAACUUUUCACUCAGAAGCUGCUGGUUGGAGGAGCUGUGAGAUCUGUGGGAAGCGGGUACAUUGUGGAUGUAUUGCUUCAUUCCAUGCAUUUUUAUUAUUGGAUGUUGGAGGAAUUGAGUGUAUUGCAUGCGCUAGGAAAAAUGUAAUUCCGCCAUCAAACCCAAUAUGGCCGCCAUCUUUUUUUCUGCCAUUACCUCUACCUGAGAGACUUAAAGAUGUCAAUAUGAAGAACUGGAGUCAGAUUGCUGGGCCAAGUGCGGUUGCAGGGCAAUGGCGUCAAACACCCAAUAUAUGGAAUACUGCUGCUGCUCAGCCUGAGUUGCAGUCAAGGAUGCCCUAUGAAGUUGAGAGAUCAGGUGCUGUUUCUGCCAUGGACAAGAAGGCUGAAGAUCCAUCUGAAAGAUUAGCAUCUAACAGCUUGAAGCUUGCUGCACCAGAUAGACUUGCAAAUGGAGAAAAUGAUCCAGCAGAUGCGAGAAAAGGAGCUUUUGCUGAAUCUGGCUUGAACACUACUGCUAUUAACUUUGAGACACCUCCAGGUUCAAGUGUAAACGUUUCACUUCCGUCAUCCAUUUCAAAGGAUGAACCGUCAACUCUGCAUUUUGGGUUUGGUGUACCUUAUGCUUCACCCAAUGAUACAAAUGGUGCAACUAGGGUUUCUGGAACUCAAUCACAAAGGCAGACUCCACCUCCGUCGGCAAAGCAAGUCUAUGCUACUCCAAAUAAUGGGCCUGAUUCAUCUGGUGAAACUCAGUUACGCAAUGGAAGACCUCGAGGUGACGCCCGAGGAAGGAAUCAGUUACUUCCUAGAUACUGGCCCAGGAUAACAGAUCAGGAGCUACAACAAAUCUCUGGAGACACAAAUUCUGUCAUUACACCACUGUUUGAAAAGAUGUUAAGUGCUAGUGAUGCUGGCCGGAUUGGGCGUUUGGUGCUUCCAAAAAAAUGUGCAGAGGCUUAUUUCCCUACAAUUUCUCAACCCGAAGGAUUGCCUCUUCAAGUCCAGGAUGCAAGAGGCAAGGAAUGGGUGUUCCAAUUCCGUUUUUGGCCUAAUAAUAACAGCAGAAUGUAUGUCUUAGAGGGGGUUACACCUUGUAUUCAGUCGAUGCAAUUGCAGGCAGGUGAUACAGUAACAUUCAGCCGGAUUGAUCCGGAAGGAAAGCUGGUCAUGGGAUUCAGAAAGGCUUCUAGUGUUCCACCUUCUGACCAGGAAAAUCAAACACCUAAAUCAGGAAGUGGUGUCUCUGCAAAUGGAGAGGUUAAUUCAGCAGAUCCAGCAAGCACCUGGUCCAAGGUUGAUAAAUCAGGAUACAUAGCAAAAGAUGUACCUGGAGCUAAAUCUUCUCUUCCUAGUAAGAGGAAAAGCAGUACCCUUGGCUCAAAGAGCAAACGCCUGCGAAUUGAAAAUGAGGACUUAAUAGAGCUCAAGCUAACAUGGGAAGAAGCUCAAGGGCUGCUCUGCCCACCUCCUAACCAUGCUCCUAGUAUUGUGGUGAUUGAAGGCCACGAGUUUGAAGAAUAUGAGGAAGCACCAGUUCUUGGGAAGCCAACAAUUUUAACAACCAAUAAUCAAGGUGAAAAGGUUCAAUGGGCUCAGUGUGAAGACUGUUCUAAGUGGCGGAAGCUGCCUUUUGAUGUGCUCCUUCCUUCGAGAUGGACCUGUUCCAAGAAUUUAUGGGAUCCAAAACGGUCUUCAUGUACUUCAGCACAAGAGCUAAGUAUAGAACAGCUUGAAGAUAUGAUAUCCUCUGCGAAAAUUUCUACUUCCAAGAGAACCAAGGCUGCCAAGCAGGUCAAGGAUACUGUUGAAGCAUCUGAUGGGCUUGACACCCUAGCAAACCUUGCCAUUAUGGGAGAGGGUGAGGCUCUCCCCCCAUCUGCCCAGCCCACUACCAAGCAUCCUCGCCAUCGUCCAGGGUGCACAUGCAUUGUCUGCAUCCAGCCUCCAAGUGGCAAGGGCCCCAAGCACAAGCAGACAUGCACAUGCAAUGUUUGUCUUACUGUCAAGCGCCGCUUCCGCACCCUUAUGUUGCGGCGGGAGAAGCGACAAUCAGAGAAGGAAGCAGAGACAGCUCGUAAGAAGCAGCAGCAGCUUCAGAUGCCUGAGAAGACAACAGAUCAGGAGGAUGAUCCACCAAUUGGUAAUGCAAGCAAUGGCAGUCCAAACCAGAAAAUAGCAGUGAAUGAGAUUGCUGAUGAGGAUCCUAACAGGAAGAAACCUUCCUCUUCACCUCUUAAAGGCCAGAUUGAUCUGAACAUCCAGCCAGAAAGGGAGGAUGAACCAUCACCUGUGUCAGAUUCUGGCAGCAUGCUUAAGAUGAUUAGAGAUGCCACUGAGAUGUAUCUCAGGAAGCAGAGGCUCCCAAGUUCCGCCAACAGAGAUCUUGUUGUCAAUCAGUUGGAGCCGGGUGGGAGUAGUACUGGAGGAGAGAAGCUUGAUUGUGUUCAGCAUGGUAGCAAUCAUCUAAAAGUUGAUGUGGACCAUCCCAUCACUUUAUCUAUGUCCAUAUCUGCUCCCACAUCAGCAACAGGCUAGACUUUCAGUAUUGCAUGUUAUGUAACAUUGAAGAUCGGCACUAUGGGGAAUGGUUCCAUGUAAAUUCAUUUAAAUCAGCAUCGGGCAUUCCACUAAACCUAUUACCCAUCCCAUAAGCAACGGCUUUCCUUGUACAUAAAAAGAGGGUACAUCUUUUAGUGCCAGCGUUUGGACAUUUCUUCAAACAAAAAAUCAAAAUGUUUGAGGUAUUCCUGUUUCUUGGCCCUCGGCUGACUCUUUUAUGGUCAAUAUAAAGCCGGAUAAAACUUUAGUUGUGGAAGCAAGGAUUAGGAAUUGGUCAAUUCAAACCCGUAGCUGCUACUAAUGCACCAUCCAGUUCAUCAAACAGGGGUCUUGAUUGCUACCUUCCCAUCUCUACGGUCUAUGUCAACCCUAUACUGCCGUAUCAGAUUUUUCCCUGGGAAUAGCAAGUUGUUUGAAAAAACCAACAGUGAUCCGGUUAUACAUUAUGGGCGGGGGCAGGCUGCGGAUGUCAGAACACCUGAUACCACCGUUUGAUCGAGACGGAUGGAUGGAGCUUUUACUGAAUCUAAACAAUAAACAUGCAGGGUAUGGUUUUUCGUUAAAAGAUGGUAAGGGGGAAACUUUUUUGAUGGCAGCUGCCUACAAGGAUGAGCCACGCUCGGCCUCGGCUGUGUUCUCUGAAGCAUUUGCUUUUUAUUGGCUUUGGGAGGGAGCAACUCGUUCUCUCCGGAUAAAGAAUAUAUAGUGAUUAAAAACUUUAAAAGCGACUGUCCAAUGUUGGUAAAAUCUUUAUGAUUAAAGCGGAAUAAGCUUACGCAGAUGCAGAUUUUCUUAUUAAGUCGGUCUCUUUUGAACAUCUUUAACAGGAAUCUCAACAGUAUGGGCUUAUGGAUUGGAACACCCCAGUUGGCCAGAGAACUAGUUCUGGCGUGUUAUGAAGUGUGGCUCAUCAGCUCGGUGGCCAG